rnacentral:rRNA from 1 species
GACGAACGCUGGCGGCGUGCUUAACACAUGCAAGUCGAACGGUAAGGCUCCAGCUUGCUGGGGUACACGAGUGGCGAACGGGUGAGUAACACGUGGGUGACCUGCCCUGCACUUCGGGAUAAGCCUGGGAAACUGGGUCUAAUACCGGAUAGGACCCUGGUGUGGAUACUGUGGUGGAAAGUUUUUUCGGUGUGGGAUGGGCCCGCGGCCUAUCAGCUUGUUGGUGGGGUAAUGGCCUACCAAGGCGGCGACGGGUAGCCGGCCUGAGAGGGUUGACGGCGACAUUGGGACUGAGACACGGCCCAGACUCCUACGGGAGGCAGCAGUGGGGAAUAUUGCACAAUGGGCGGAAGACUGAUGCAGCGACGCCGCGUGGGGGAUGACGGACUUCGGGUUGUAAACUCCUUUCACCAUCGACGAAGGGUUUCUGACGGUAGAUGGAGAAGAAGCACCGGCUAACUACGUG